UUCAUUUCUGCAAUUGAGUUUCUUCUUCCUGGUACGUGAAUUGAACACCGUACAAGCUUCAAGUGUUGCAUUCUCUGUCAUACUUCAAUCUAAGCUCUGAUCCAACAUCCUGUUAGAGUGUUCCUCUCUGUGGUCCUACUGUAAAUAAGAACGUAGCCACCAUUGUACAGCGGCCGCCUUCUGGCCUUCUUUCCAUGCUGAAAUAAAGAGGAGCGUUGUUACUAUUUCCUGAAGGAUCUGGGGAAUAAUGGAGAGGAAAAAGCUGAGGGUAGAAGGAAUUCCAACUGACAUUCCAGCUAAUCGUGCAAAGGAUAAACUCACUAUACACUUCCUGAGAACUCGAAAUGGGGGGGGAGAAGUGGAAGAUAUUGAGAUUUUUCCUGGACCUCCGUUGCAUGCUAUCAUCACAUUUGAAGAUGAUAAAGUGGUUGACAGUGUCCUGAAAACGAAUGACCAUUUUUUAAAAAUAAAUGACAAAACAUACAAACUUGAAGUCCGUAAGCUUUCUGGCAAGUUGGAACUUAAUGAGGUAUUCAAGAAAUCUUCUUUAUCUGUGAACUACAAAAUACUUCCUGAAAAACUGAAAAACUUUCUGAAGGGUUUGAGAGAGACUUACAAAGAAGUCAAGUUUGAUUUUAAUGAAAAGUUAGGCAUCUGUGAGAUAAGUGGAUCAUACACAAACGUUCAGACACUGAGCCAAGAGAUUAUUAAACGCAUUGAAUUUGACCAUGAAGGCUCAAAGGAAAAUUCAUCAAAUACACACAGGCAAGCAAAGACUAACCAGCCUACACUUAGAAAACAUUUAAAUGUGCCAGUGGUCUCACAAGUCAAGGAUCAUACAUCUUCAAGACCAUAUGUCAGUGCUGAUCAAGUCAAGUUUUUGCCAAGAGAUGAAACCACUGAACAGCUACAGGAACCAUUUGUUUGGGACUCUGAUAUUUUCAGGUAUAUAAAGCAAUUUUACAGUUUGGAAUACAGAGAUUUAUUAAACAAGUACAAUAUUGAAGCAGUUGAGGAGAGUUCCGAUGAAAUCACCACAAUCUAUCUACAGACCCCACAUGGAGAUAAGGAUUGUAUGAAACAUUUGAGAGAUGCAAAGAUCAAUCUUAUGGAGCUUUACCAGGGAUUGGAAUUAAUUCUUCGGAAAGAGCAAAUCGACAAGAGAGACUGGAAUAGCGAUAAGGAUACUCACAGACUAUUGUUGGAAGAACUCAAAACCCUAUUUCCUAUACUCCUUUGCCAUGAAGAUGAUCAAUAUAUCUUCCUUAUUGGAAACAGUGGUGAUGUGGCUUUAGGCAAACAACACAUCUGUGAUGUAUACCUGAAGCUUAAUAAUCCAUCUAGAUUUUUACAGUCAUAUGAUAUGCAAGCUGCAGGAGGCCAGUUGAGCUCUACAGUAGGAAAAAGAGAUUUCAUGCCACUUUCAUUUAACAGUUCUGACAAUUAUAAAAUUAAAGGGGGAAACAGAAUUGCUGCCAUGUUUAAUCCAUCCACAGGCAGCAAUGCAUACUUGAAGAGCCAUCUAGAUGAUAAAUACUUAACAUCAUCCAGUAGUAACAACAAACAGCAGAUUGAUCUUGAGCGUAGUAACAAGACGCUGGGGACAAGUGAUUAUACCACAUCAUCUUAUAUUAAUAAAGUUGAAGACUGCAGCCUUUCACAAAUCAGUGAGAAAUCUGGUAGCAAAGGUUUAGCACAGAUCAAAAAAAUGGAUGUUCUUCCUGCACUACAAACUGGUAGAGUAGAUAUAAGACAGGCCAAGUCCACUACACAAAGUGUAGGAAAACUUCAACCUGUCCGAAUCGCUAAAGCAUCAAGUGAGUAUCCCUACUCUAGCUUGAUAGAUUUUCUCCCUCAGUCCAUAGAGUUUAAACCAGCAGAAGUCAAACUUAGAAGAUCUAGUAGCUUUUCCAAUGUUUAUGCCAAAGAUUCACCUGAUCAUCAAGGAGGAACAUCAGAAAUAAAAGAUGAAAUAUUAAUGGAAGAUUGGCUUUGGCAAUAUAUGAAAGAGUUUCACAAAUCAGACAUUGACACCUGGUGUGCUGAAGUCACACUGACAGAGGAGAAACGCAGUGAAUUCACUGUGUUAAAAUUAAAAGCAUCUAGCAAAACGAAGGUGUGGUCUGCAAAGGAUCGCAUGCAAUCACUGUACAAGGAAAAACGUGAGAAUUAUACCAAAUCUUACUUUCAGUACUCCAUACUUGAAGUUAAAGGUCCAGAUGAUGCAAAAAUCAAGGAGUGGUGCAAUGUAUUCCACAAUUGCUCCGACAAGCUGAGUUUAAAAGUGGAGAAAGAUGCACUGCUUCUUAUAUAUCCUAAAGUAACAGAAAAAAAAGUUCUCGAACAACGUGCUCGCUUUUUGCUUAAAAGUAAAUACCCCGACAACUUAUCUUUGGUAAAUAAUGUUCACUCAACUUUAACGACUGUUAUAAAGGAGCAAGAGAAUGAGCCAGAUUAUUCUGUGAAGUAUUUAGAAAGAAAUUACUUGAAAGGUCCAGAAGAUUUUUCCCCUGAAUUUAAUAAAAGUGAAUUUAUGACACCUACAGAGGAUCAUAAAAAAUAUUUAGUUGAUAGCAAAAAAGAAAGCUUUAUUGAAGAUAAAGCCCCUUUCAGCAAUUUCUUUCCAGCAUUACAAAAUUAAAAUAUACAGAAACCUCAUCAGUUACAAGAAACUCCAGAUAUUGGUUUAAAGGAUCCAGAGGGACUUAAUUCAAAGAGUUUUGACCUCAAUAAUUUCCAGGCAGAUGUCUGUGAUUCAUCUUUAGCAAAAAAAAUCCAUUCUAGUAAUCUAUCUGAGCCGAGAAGACCUGCAGUAGGACAAGAGUCUGAUCCAGUUGAUAGAGUUUGCGACCACUGCAAGGGAGAUGACAAAGCAAGUACACUAGCUUGUGGCCACUAUAUCUGUGAUAACUGCCAUUCAGCAUUCAAGGACUCUUGCCGUGUAUGCGCUGACAAAAAAGUAUGCGGUAACAGAAAUGUAUUAAAUGCUACUAUGACCUAUAGUAGUACGACUCUACUUCUAACAGGAUAUGAUCGAGACACUUGUAUACGAAUUAAAUAUGAAGUCCCUGAUGGAGUACAGAGGGCAGAAGAUCCUCACCCCAGAGAACGAUACAAAGGGGGGACCUUUGAAGCUUACUUACCUGAAAACAGAGAAGGGAAGAAGCUGCUUUCACUUUUAGAGAAAGCUUUGAACCAAAACUUAACAUUUAAAAUUGAACCAAAGAAGGACGGAGAUUUUGUGACAUGGCACAAAAUUCCUCAUAAGACUUCCCUAUCUGGAGGGAAGGCAAUGAGAGGAUACCCAGAUUCACAGUACAUGAAGAAUACAAUAGCUUUACUGAAGACCUUGGGUAUUGAAUGAGAAGAGAACAUCUAAUCUGCAACCAAAGCAAAGCGUAACAUUUGUUUCUACUCUUUUAUAUACGUUUCCUUUGUACUUGAGAAUCAGUAUACAUUUAUCAUAAGCUGAAUAUUUAAUGGAAAACAUGAUUGUUAAAUGUUUGACUGUUACAGGUCUUGUCAUGUAAUAUACGCUACCAGUCAAUGAAAAUCAAUAGACAGGAUCCAGUACUAUUCUAAAACUGUUAUCAACCUAUAUUAUUGUGCUGGGAAUCUUCACUCACAAAAUUGUGAAUACUCAUUUUUAAUUAUGCAAUCAUGUGAAAAGCAUCUACACACAGUUUGGUAUUUAAAACAUAACUAAAGGGAGCUAUACUUGACUUUCCUCCAAUGGUCUCUCACCAGCAUCUAGGUAAGUAUUGUAUUACAUGUCUCUUCUGCAAUAAAGAGCCCGCUUUCUCACAGUGAUGAACAGGGGGACUUUAGUUCAGCUCUAAAGUGAACAGAAAUGAUUUUUUCACAUAAUUGGAUAAGUAAAGUGAAUAGUAGUGUUUGGGUGAAGGUUCACAACUCAGGUAUCACUCCUGCUAGAACAGGCAUACAGGACCAGCAAACAAGUGGUUCUCUUCAUUCCCAUCAUAAUAACCCACAUUACCUGCAGCACCUAGUAUCUUCAGUCUUUCCAUCCCACAUUUGGGCUCAUCUGCAAUGAAAAUCUCUUUCCUGAUUUA